GGAGGAAUAUUGGUCAAUGGGCGAGAGCCUGAACCAGCCAAGUAGCGUGCAGGAAGACGGCCCUAUGGGUUGUAAACUGCUUUUAUACGGGGAUAAAGUGGGCCACGUGUGGCUUAUUGCAGGUACCGUAUGAAUAAGGACCGGCUAAUUCCGUGCCAGCAGCCGCGGUAAUACGGAAGGUCCGGGCGUUAUCCGGAUUUAUUGGGUUUAAAGGGAGCGUAGGCCGUCUGUUAAGCGUGUUGUGAAAUGUCGGGGCUCAACCUGGGCAUUGCAGCGCGAACUGGCAGACUUGAGUGCGCAGGAAGUAGGCGGAAUUCGUCGUGUAGCGGUGAAAUGCUUAGAUAUGACGAAGAACUCCGAUUGCGAAGGCAGCUUUCCAGCGCGCUACUGACGCUGAGGCACGAAAGCGUGGGGAUCGAACAGGAUUAGAUACCCUGGUAGU
rnacentral:rRNA from 1 species